CCGCGUGAGUGAUGAAGGCCCUAGGGUCGUAARGCUCUUUCGCCAGGGAUGAUAAUGACAGUACCUGGUAAAGAAACCCCGGCUAACUCCGUGCCAGCAGCCGCGGUAAUACGGAGGGGGUUAGCGUUGUUCGGAAUUACUGGGCGUAAAGCGUACGUAGGCGGAUUGGAAAGUUGGGGGUGAAAUCCCGGGGCUCAACCCCGGAACUGCCUCCAAAACUCCCAGUCUAGAGUUCGAGAGAGGUGAGUGGAAUUCCGAGUGUAGAGGUGAAAUUCGUAGAUAUUCGGAGGAACACCAGUGGCGAAGGCGGCUCACUGGCUCGAUACUGACGCUGAGGUACGAAAGUGUGGGGAGCAAACAGGAUUAGAUACCCUGGUAGUCCACACCGUAAACGAUGAAUGCCAGUCGUCGGGUAGCAUGCUAUUCGGUGACACACCUAACGGAUUAAGCAUUCCGCCUGGGGAGUACGGUCGCAAGAUUAAAACUCAAAUGAA
rnacentral:rRNA from 1 species